CCUACGGGAGGCUGCAGUGGGGAAUAUUGGACAAUGGGGGCAACCCUGAUCCAGCCAUGCCGCGUGUGUGAAGAAGGCCCUCGGGUUGUAAAGCACUUUCAGUGAGGAAGAACGCCUGGUGGUUAAUACCCAUCAGGAAAGACAUCACUCACAGAAGAGCACCGGCUAACUCCGUGCCAGCAGCCGCGGUAAUACGGAGGGUGCGAGCGUUAAUCGGAAUUACUGGGCGUAAAGCGCGCGUAGGUGGCUUGAUAAGCCGGUUGUGAAAGCCCCGGGCUCAACCUGGGAACGGCAUCCGGAACUGUCAAGCUAGAGUGCAGGAGAGGAAGGUAGAAUUCCCGGUGUAGCGGUGAAAUGCGUAGAGAUCGGGAGGAAUACCAGUGGCGAAGGCGGCCUUCUGGACUGACACUGACACUGAGGUGCGAAAGCGUGGGUAGCAAACAGGAUUAGAUACCCUUGUAGUC
rnacentral:rRNA from 1 species